rnacentral:lncRNA from 1 species
UUAAAUACUGUAAAUUCAGAAAUUAUUGCGUGCAUUUAUUAUUGCGAUGUGCCGACCACAGGCAAAAAUGCGAGGUUUAAUUAUUGCGACUUGCCGAUUAAAAAAAAAAUUUUUUAUGCUGAACAUUAUUGUAAAUCACAGAUGUUCACAUGUCUUUUCGCAAAGUAAAGCUUUGUUCAAAUCUAUGCAUUUAGUUACCUUCCGUAUGUUUUCUGUGAUUGAAUACACAAUUCUUAACUGAUGUAACUUG